CGAGGACGAACGCUGGCGGCGUGCUUAACACAUGCAAGUCGAACGAGAAUCUACUGAAAGAGUUUUCGGACAAUGGAUGUAGAGGAAAGUGGCGGACGGGUGAGUAACGCGUGAGGAACCUGCCUUGAAGAGGGGGGACAACAGUUGGAAACGACUGCUAAUACCGCAUGAUGCAUAGGGAUCGCAUGAUUCUUAUGCCAAAGAUUUAUCGCUUCAAGAUGGCCUCGCGUCUGAUUAGCUAGUUGGCGGGGUAACGGCCCACCAAGGCGACGAUCAGUAGCCGGACUGAGAGGUUGAACGGCCACAUUGGGACUGAGAUACGGCCCAGACUCCUACGGGAGGCAGCAGUGGGGAAUAUUGGGCAAUGGGCGCAAGCCUGACCCAGCAACGCCGCGUGAAGGAAGAAGGCUUUCGGGUUGUAAACUUCUUUUAAGAGGGAAGAGCAGAAGACGGUACCUCUAGAAUAAGCCACGGCUAACUACGUG
rnacentral:rRNA from 1 species